rnacentral:lncRNA from 1 species
CUGACCUCGUGAUCUGCCUGCCUCGGCCUCCCAAAGUGCCGGGAUUACAGGCGUGAGCCACCGCGCCGGGCCUGAUUUCAGUUUCUUCCAGCCCUUCCUAUUGUUAACAUGGGGGUUGUGUUGAAGAAUAUAAAGUUACAAAGUCAAGGAAGUAGGAAACAUUUUUACAAGUAUUAUGUAGCCAUCUUGGUGGGGCUGUGGUGAGGUAGGCUGCAAAUGAUUCUCCUAUUUCUUUCCCUGAGUUCAGAACAUAGGAAUUAGAUUGAUAGACAUCAACAUACCCGCUUUAUUGCUGACUCAUGACAACUAAUGGGAAGACAUGGCUCAGAUGUGCAGCCACAGUGAGCUUCUGAACAUUUCUUCUCAGACUAAGCUCUUACACACAGUUGCAGUUGAAAGAAAGAAUUGCUUGACAUGGCCACAGGAGCAGGCAGCUUCCUGCAGACAUGACAGUCAACGCAAACUCAUGUCACUGUGGGCAGACACAUGUUUGCAAAGAGACUCAGAGCCAAACAAGCACACUCAAUGUGCUUUGCCCAAAUUUACCCAUUAGGUAAAUCUUCCCUCCUCCCAAGAAGAAAGUGGAGAGAGCAUGAGUCCUCACAUGGAAACUUGAAGUCAGGGAAAUGAAGGCUCACCAAUUAUUUGUGCAUGGGUUUAAGUUUUCCUUGAAAUUAAGUUCAGGUUUGUCUUUGUGUGUACCAAUUAAUGACAAGAGGUUAGAUAGAAGUAUGCUAGAUGGCAAAGAGAAAUAUGUUUUGUGUCUUCAAUUUUGCUAAAAAUAACCCAGAACAUGGAUAAUUCAUUUAUUAAUUGAUUUUGGUAAGCCAAGUCCUAUUUGGAGAAAAUUAAUAGUUUUUCUAAAAAAGAAUUUUCUCAAUAUCACCUGGCUUGAUAACAUUUUUCUCCUUCGAGUUCCUUUUUCUGGAGUUUAACAAACUUGUUCUUUACAAAUAGAUUAUAUUGACUACCACUCACUGAUGUUAUGAUAUUAGUUUCUAUUGCUUACUUUGUAUUUCUAAUUUUAGGAUUCACAAUUUAGCUGGAGAACUAUUUUUUAACCUGUUGCACCUAAACAUGAUUGAGCUAGAAGACAGUUUUACCAUAUGCAUGCAUUUUCUCUGAGUUAUAUUUUAAAAUCUAUACAUUUCUCCUAAAUAUGGAGGAAAUCACUGGCAUCAAAUGCCAGUCUCAGACGGAAGACCUAAAGCCCAUUUCUGGCCUGGAGCUACUUGGCUUUGUGACCUAUGGUGAGGCAUAAGUGCUCUGAGUUUGUGUUGCCUCUUUUGUAAAAUGAGGGUUUGACUUAAUCAGUGAUUUUCAUAGCUUAAAAUUUUUUUGAAGAACAGAACUUUUUUUAAAAACAGUUAGAUGCAACCAUAUUAUAUAAAACAGAACAGAUACAAGUAGAGCUAACUUGCUAAAGAAAGGAUGGAGGCUCUGAAGCUGUGACUUCAUUAUCCCUUAAUACUGCUAUGUCCUCUGUAGUACCUUAGAUUUCUAUGGGACAUCGUUUAAAAACUAUUGUUUAUGCGAGAGCCUUGCUAAUUUCCUAAAAAUUGUGGAUACAUUUUUUCUCCCAUGUAUAAUUUUCUCACCUUCUAUUUAAAAAGAAAAAAAAAGUCAGUGUAGUAUUUACAUAUUUUACCCUAUAAGGAGCUAACAUAACUUUUGAUUUAGUGUUAUUCAUAAAAUUAGGUUAGCAGUUUAUUAACCUUUUGUAUUUGCUCUGGCAAUGUUUAAUAUCUCAUAAGCUAUACACACCUCGAAGCCAUCAAUGACAACCUUUUCUUGCUGAAUAGAACAGUGAUUGAUGUCAUGAAGACAAUUUUAUCUCCUUUUGCCUUCCAUAAUUUGUACCAGGUUAUAUAAUAGUAUAACACUGCCAAGGAGCGGAUUAUCUCAUCUUCAUCCUGUAAUUCCAGUGUUUGUCACGUGGUUGUUGAAUAAAUGAAUAAAGAAUGAGAAAACCAGAAGCUCUGAUACAUAAUCAUAAUGAUAAUUAUUUCAAUGCACAACUACGGGUGGUGCUGAACUAGAAUCUAUAUUUUCUGAAACUGGCUCCUCUAGGAUCUACUAAUGAUUUAAAUCUAAAAGAUGAAGUUAGUAAAGCAUCAGAAAAAAAAGGUAAACAAAUUGCUCCUGUGGAGAUGAUUGGCAUCACAUGGUGUUUUGAGCUGAUACACCCAACACUUGAGCUCACUGCAACAGUACCAGGUUAUUUGGUUCAUCUACAGUUUUUUUCAAAUUGCCAUUAAUUUCCAAAUUUUUUUUUUUUUUUUUUGAGACGG